rnacentral:rRNA from 1 species
ACUACUGGGGGCUGCAGUGGGGGAUAUUGCACAAUGGGGGAAACCCUGAUGCAGCGACGCCGCGUGGGUGAAGAAGCGCCUCGGCGCGUAAAGCCCUGUCAGCAGGGAAGAAAAUGACGGUAACUGAAGAAGAAGCCCCGGCUAACUACGUGCCAGCAGCCGCGGUAAUACGUAGGGGGCAAGCUUUAUCCGGAUUUACUGGGUGUAAAGGGGGCGCAGACGGCGGUGCAAGCCAGGAGUGAAAGCCCGGGGCCCAAACCCGGGACUGCUCUUGGAACUGCGUGGCUAGAGGGCAGGAGGGGCAGGCGGAAUUCCUGGUGUAGCGGUGAAAUGCGUAGAGAUCAGGAGGAACACCAGUGGCGAAGGCGACCUGCUGGACUGCAACUGACGUUGAGGCCCGAAAGCGUGGGGAGCAAACAGGAUUAGAUACCCCUGUAGUC